rnacentral:rRNA from 1 species
UCCUGUAUGUUAAACGAGAAGACUUUAGAUAUGAUCCAGAGUACCACGGGACACGUGAAACCCUGUGGGAAGCAGGAGGGACCACCCUCCAAGGCUAAAUACUACCUAGUGACCGAUAGCGUAUAGUACCGUGAGGGAAAGGUGAAAAGAACCCCGGGAGGGGAGUGAAAUAGAACCUGAAACCCUGCACUUACAAGCUGUGGAAGCACAUUUCUUGUGUGACCGCGUACUUUUUGUAGAACGGGCCAACGAGUUACGUUAAGUAGCAAGGUUAAGCACUUAAGGUGCGGAGCCGUAGCGAAAGCGAGUUUUAACUGAGCGUUCAGUUACUUGACGUAGACCCGAAACCGGGCGACCUACCCAUGAGCAGGAUGAAGCGAAAGUAAAAUUUCGUGGAGGUCCGAACCCACGAGCGUUGAAAAGCUCGGGGAUGACUUGUGGGUAGCGGUGAAAUUCCAAUCGAGCCCGGAGAUAGCUGGUUCUCCCCGAAAUAGCUUUAGGGCUAGCCUCAAGGUGAGAGAUACGGAGGUAGAGCACUGAAUGUCCUAGGGGGUAUUGCACCUACCGAAGACUAUCAAACUCCGAAUGCCGUCAUCUUAUACUUGGGAGUCAGACUGUGGGUGAUAAGAUUCAUAGUCGAAAGGGCAACAGCCCAGAUCGUCAGCUAAGGUCCCUAAAUGUAAGUUAAGUGGUAAAGGAUGUGGGAUUGCACAGACAACCAGGAUGUUGGCUUAGAAGCAGCCACUCAUUCAAAGAGUGCGUAAUAGCUCACUGGUCGAGUGAUCCUGCGCCGAAGAUUUCCGGGGCUAAAACUU